rnacentral:rRNA from 1 species
GACGAACGCUGGCGGCGUGCCUAAUACAUGCAAGUUGAGCGCUGAAGGUUGGUACUUGUACCCACUGGAUGAGCAGCGAACGGGUGAGUAACGCGUGGGGAAUCUGCCUUUGAGCGGGGGACGACAUUUGGAAACGAAUGCUAAUACCGCAUAAAAACUUUAAACACAAGUUUUAAGUUUGAAAGAUGCAAUUGCAUCACUCAAAGAUGAUCCCGCGUUGUAUUAGCUAGUUGGUGAGGUAAAGGCUCACCAAGGCGAUGAUACAUAGCCGACCUGAGAGGGUGAACGGCCAAAUUGGGACUGAGACACGGCCCAAACCCCUACGGGGGGCAGCAGUAGGGAAUCUUCGGCAAUGGACGAAAGGCUGACCGAGCAACGCCGCGUGAGGGAAGAAGGUUUUCGGAUCGUAAAACUCUGUUUGUAGAGAAGGACGUUGGUGAGAGUGGAAAGCUCAUCAAGUGACGGUAACUACCCAGAAAGGGACGGCUAACUACGUG